UUUAUCUUGCUUAACAUUGUGUGUUUUUCUAAGCUGCCCUAACUAAUAUCUGGAAAAGGUGAAUUGUAAGUGGACAGAAUCAAUAGAAACACUAUUGUCAUGGAAACUUUCCUCCCCAUCACCCUUCCCUCUUGCUCCGUCCUUAAAGUCAGACGCUGCUGUUGCGGGGAGCCUUGGUCCCCUGGAGCCACGGGAUGGCUGCUGCCGUUGGGCUGCUGCUGCUGGGACGCUGAACCCGUGUGAGCUGACCGCUGGCUGGAGGGAGAGCAGGGUUCGAGUAGUGUUGUCCACAAGCCCCGUUGUGUGGUGCACUCAAAGACCAGCACUCCAAGAAACCAUCUGUAUUUUAACAUCUCACUGCACAGCCGCAUUCCUCAUGUUUAAUUUAUGUUGGCAAUCUUUUGUGGCAAGACCAACUUAAUUUUUAAAUGAAAUCAUUUCAUUUUAGGUAAAACAUUGGUGACCCAAAUAUUACACACUUUCAAAUUAUGCAUAAUCCCUCCUCCACCCUCACCCCCUCCACGUCCCCCUUCCCUCUUUUUUAGUGGAGCUGAAUGAAAAUUCCACACUGCUGGUUAUUUAAACAAAUACUUUAAUCAUCCGUUAUCUGGUAGAACCAUCAAGCCUGGGCUGACAGACACAAAAUUAAGUGGCAGAACUAAGGCAAUUAUCUAUAUAAUUCAGGUUAAAAACUAAAUUCAACAACCAGUUUUGCCUGAAAUACUUCAGUCGUGGAGAGGUGGGGAAAGCGUCCGUUUGGUUUGUAUUAUUGCCACAAUUGCCUUAAUUCCCAUUGACUCAGUGUGAGUGGAAUCAUGGACACACAGAAUUUUCGUCUGUUGGACAAUAUCUUGUCAAACUCCCUUAUUUUUCAAGUGAGAAAGCUGAGACCCACAGAGGUCAAGUGCCUUGCCCAGGUCAUCAGAGGGUGGCAGAGUUCAGUCAUGAAUGUUCAUUUCCCUGUUCCCAGGUCAGCAUCUUGCCCUGGUUCCAUUGUCUCUAGAAGUCAAGGGAACAGUGCCAGCAUGAUAAACUUUAGAUAAAGACAGCAAAAUGCCACCCAAGGCCUUGAACCCAAACCAAAUGCAACAAUUCGCUCCAGCUGCGUAUCAAAUAAUUUUCUCUGCCCACGUUCUACUAACAUUAAAAUGACCAGCUUUUAAAAGUACACAUGGGUGUUCACAUAAUAAACGAAAACAUUUUCACCAUUCUAAUAAGUACCCAAGGAAAAAUCUACAAAAGCACUCUAAGGCCUACAGGAAAACUCAGACCGAGGGUGUUGUGUGAGCUGGAACGGCCUCCCUGUCAGUGCCCGCAAGCCCGGUUAUCAGUUGGAUGACCUUCAAGUAAAGACAAAGCCCGUUUGAAGCCGAAGGAGCCGUUUGCAGGGCACAGGCCGAGCUCCUAACCAGGACCCCAUCCCGGAUCUUUGCUGCCACUGACCGUGUUUCCAUGAGAUGACACAGUGAUUUUCCCGAACGGCUACGUGGCUUUGCGGAUCGACCCUGCACUUGCCUGUGAAGAAGACCGGCCUCUGUGGCACAGCAGUCACUUGGAUCCCCUCUGAGCAUCCUUGUUUUCCCCAAAAGUACUUUUGAACACUUCAAAUUCUUGCAAAAAUUCUUCUCUUUCUUUCUCUCUUGCUCCUUUUUUUGUUGUUGUUGUUGGAAACUGAUUCUUGCUGGAGCUGGGGUUUGCAGUUGCGGGUGCAGGCCCAUGCAUAGC